CAGGAAUCAGACUGCUUGGCUCUUCGCCUCCUGGUUUUCUGCUGAGUUAAUUAGCAAAUGGAAUUGGCUCAAAGAGAAGAUUGACAGCUUCCAGAACUGGCAUAAGGUAAGCAGCAGACGUGUGCAGCUAAACAUGAGGAUCAGGACCCUGCCAUUUCAGUAUCAGCAAGGAAGCAGAUUGGCCCAUCCCAAUGUCACAAGUCUUAAAGCCAAAAUUCACAUAAUUUCGCACAUGACUUUUGGAUGCCAGUGCUGGCUUUGGCUACAUUAAAGUAAUGAUAAAAGUUUGAAAUUUGGGAAGCAGUCUGUCUUACCUAGCAAGCUUGAGGGCUGUUACAUAUGGCUUGCUGAUCACACAGAAUCACACAGAAUCACAGAAUGACCUGGUUGGAAGGGACCUCAAGGAUCAUAUCAGUUCCAACCCCCUGCCUGGCAGGGCCACCAAAACAAUACUUUAACUAGAUCAGUUUGCCCAGGGCCCCGUCCAACCUGGUCUUGAACACCUCCAAGGAUGGGGCAUCCACAACCUCCCUCACACAACAGAAGUAAAUGAAAAACUAGAGCCUUUGUUAAUUUCAUAGCGUGCCAGUAAGGCAAAAUUGCAGCCCAUCUUCCUGAGAAAGGGCAGAGAUCAUGUCUCCAGUCAGCACCCGGUCCACGACAUGUUGACUCUCCCAGUAUCAUGCUGUCUCUUGCACCAAGCGGCGCUUUUCUGAGCAGAUGGUGAAGCAUUUCAGGUCACAAACCCCCUGAAAUUUCUGGGCUUUAUGGGCUUGUUGAGUAGUCACUUGAAUGUCAGAAGCUGGCACUGAAGCAAGCCAGAGAAAGUGACAGGGAGACAGAGGUGCCGCCAUGCAGCACUGAGCUGUGCUAUUAACAGACGGUCGCCUCGAGAAAGCUUUGCCUUAAAAACUCGAAGUAGAGCUAGAACCACCACCGCGGGGCAGGGCGGGCCCCGCCCGCUUCCCUCAGGCGGCCGCCAGAAACACAGAGGCCGUUUCCCGGCGCCAUGGGGGAGCGCGGCGACUCCGAAGGGCUGGAGAUGGAGCUGGGGAGGGAGAGGCGGAGGCACUAUCUGCCUCUGCCAUUUGGAGUGGGAACAAAUAAGCAGCAAUGAUGCAGAUUUCCUCGAAUUUUCCUGGAUCUAAGCUUUUUGACUCCUGUGCUUCACUGUAUCUUUGGUGAGACUUUCACCA
ensembl:lncRNA